rfam:Oryza sativa Japonica Group DNA, chromosome 11, cultivar: Nipponbare, complete sequence.
UAACUUUCGUCAAAGUCAAACUGUUUUAAGUUUGACCAAGUUUGUAGAAAAAAUAGUAAUAUUUUCAACCCAAGAUAAAUUUAUUAUGAAAAUAUAUUCAAUUAUUGAUUUGAUGAAACUAAUUUAGUUUUAUAAAUAUUAUUAUAUUUUACUACAAACUUAGUCAAACUUAGAACAGUUUAACUUUGACGAAAGUCAA